UACAGAGGUCUCAAGCGUUGUUCGGAUUCAUUGGGCGUAAAGGGUGUGUAGGUGGCGCGCUAAGUCGGGUGUGAAAUUUCGGAGCUUAACUCCGAGACUGCAUUCGAUACUGGCGUGCUUGAGGACUGGAGAGGAGACUGGAAUUCAUGGUGUAGCAGUGAAAUGCGUAGAGAUCAUGAGGAAGACCAGUGGCGAAGGCGGGUCUCUGGACAGUACCUGACACUGAGACACGAAGGCCAGGGGAGCAAACGGG
rnacentral:rRNA from 1 species